GAAACAUCGCAAAUCUUCUUCACCCAACCUCAGGGCUGCAGUACCUGCAGGGAUCAAACCUGGGGCUGGACCUCCUGGCACUUAAGCUGAGCCAUUGGCAAUACAAGUCUAACCCAGAUCUCUGAAGGAACCAGAGCAAAGUCUGGAGGAGAAAACGCCUGCAGCAAGACUCAGCAUAUCCCAGAGAGGGAACUGUCAACUUAGCAAUGCUGGCACAGCCCUGCCCUUCUUCAGCAGUGUUACCAUCACUUAUUUCUGUAGCAGCAACGUUUGGCUGGAUUUCUGUGUGGCUACAUUUGCCAUCUGCGUCAGAUAAAAUUGCCUUUUAUCUCA